AGUCGUAACAAGGUCUCCGUUGGUGAACCAGCGGAGGGAUCAUUACCGA
rnacentral:rRNA from 1 species